rnacentral:rRNA from 1 species
UACGGAGGGGGCUAGCGUUGUUCGGAAUUACUGGGCGUAAAGGGCUCGUAGGCGGCCAACUAAGUCACACGUGAAAUCCCCAGGCUUAACCUGGGAACUGCGUGUGAUACUGGAUGGCUUGAAUCCGGGAGAGGGAUGCAGAAUUCCAGGUGUAGCGGUGAAAUGCGUAGAUAUCUGGAGGAAUACCGGUGGCGAAGGCGGCAUCCUGGACCGGCAUUGACGCUGAUGAGCGAAAGCUAGGGGAGCAAACGGG